GCCCCUGCUCACGCCGAGGACUCGCCGAAGAUGUGUUUGGGGAUGAUUGCAAACUAAAAGUAUUGUUUCGCUUAUCACCUCCCCAGCAGAACCUUUAUGAAAGGUGAAUAAGAGGAUUUCGCUCUUUCCUGCCUUGAACCGAGGGACAAUUCUCAAAUAUCCACUUCCACAGCGUGGAAAAGAGGGAAAAGUUUAAAUGCUGCAGUCAGCCAGGCUUUCUGUGGCUUCGUUAAAAAAUACUAACGUUAAAAUUGACGGUGGGAACAGGCGUGGAAUUAAAGAAGGAAAGAGAAAAAGAAAGAAAGAGAAAAAGAAAGCUAACAAAGAUAGUAACGGAAUAAAACUUUAAAACCAUCCUUAGUGAAAUAAUUUAAGUAAAUACGUUUAUUUUAUUUUGUGUAGGGAUAAUUUCAGCCUAGUCUAAAAGCCUUUUCAAGUAAUUAUUGUUGUUGGAAUACUUGCAGUGGUAUAAUUAAGGCAUUUCCCCCUCUAAAAGACAAGUUAACAUUUUAUUUUUCCCAACACUUUUAUUGUCGAUUGAGCAGAUUUUGGUUUCAUCUUUGAACAUAAAAGCCUAGAAAUGGUGCACAGAAGUAAAUAGAGCUAAACAGCAUGGUGUUAAGAUACCCGAUACUAGGAUUUUCAACAAAGCAAAAACCUGAAUCGGCUGAAGUGUUUUCAGAAAAGAACUUAGGUUCUUCUAUGUGUAUUUACAUACGUACUUACAUCUAUUGAAGUAUUUAAAAUAAAAAAGAGCAGCAGUUCCCCUUCCUACGUGGACGCCGAGGAGGCGUGAGUUAAGUUGUUCUUGGAAGUUAACGUUUUUAUCAAGUGCAGUAGAAUUUUAUGGUCUUGAUGUGAUGGUAACUCACCAAAGCACCAGAAAUCAAUGGCUGAUCUUAAAUCAUUCAUAUACUGUACUCAGAUUCCUGAUGAAAGGAAAAUGUUUCUAUUAUAAGAAAAAACAAGUGCGUGUGUGUGUGCGUGUGUGUGUGUCUGUGAGAGAGAAGAUAAUUUAUAAAUACCCAGUGGGGAAAAGAUUUAUUAGGAAUUCACAAGGAAAAAAAAGAACCCCAAAGCCCUUACUAGGUAAACCUUAACUUUUCACUGCUCUGCGUUUUACCAAACACAGAAAGGCAGGAUUUCUUUUAUUUUUUAAUCUAAUUCUGUGUGUAUUCGUAUUUAAUUUAAUAGCAUUUAAAUAGAGUCUUGAGAUGUUUAAACUUUGCCUCCUCAAACAACAUUUUAAAUAAUAUUGACAACGAUUCCUUUUUCUGUUAUGUGUAUCGGGUUAGUUUGUUACAUUCUCCCGAAGAACACUGCUUAUCGGGAAGUGGACGUAUUUUCUUGUGUAACUUAGGAGAAGCAUUUAUCCAGAAAAUGUUUGGCCGUAGCAAUAUGAAAUAAAACCUAUGUUGAAAUUA